rnacentral:rRNA from 1 species
GCUUAUCACCAUUCCAGAUUGAAUAUACCCGAUCUCGUCUGAUCUCGGAAGUCAAGCAAUCU